rnacentral:rRNA from 1 species
UAAUGAAUUCUGAAAGGGGUUGUAGCUGGCUGUUUCGUUUGAGCGGCAUGUGCACGCCCUGAUCAUUAUCCAUCUCACACACCUGUGCACAUACUGUAGGUCGGCUUUUGAUUGGAGUGGGGUCUUCAUCGACUCUGCUUUUUAGUUGGGGCCUUCCUAUGUUUUAUCACACACUACUUCAGUUUAAAGAAUGUCCUCUUGCGUCUAACGCAUUUAAAUACAACUUUCAGCAACGGAUCUCUUGGCUCUCGCAUCGAUGAAGAACGCAGCGAAAUGCGAUAAGUAAUGUGAAUUGCAGAAUUCAGUGAAUCAUCGAAUCUUUGAACGCACCUUGCGCUCCUUGGUAUUCCGAGGAGCAUGCCUGUUUGAGUGUCAUGGAAUUCUCAACUCUAUUUGCUUUUGUGAAUAGAGCUUGGACUUGGAGGUUUAUUGCCGGUACCUGUGAUCGGCUCCUCUUGAAUGCAUUAGCUCGAACCUUUUGUGGAUCAGCUUAUCGGUGUGAUAAAAUGUCUACGCCGUUACUGUGAAGCAUAUUAUUCGGCUUCCAAUCGUCCUUCACGGGACAAUAACUUUGACCUUUGACCUCAAAUCAGGUAGGAUUACCCGCUGAACUUAA